CCUACGGGUGGCAGCAGUGGGGGAUAUUGCACAAUGGGGGGAACCCUGAUGCAGCGACGCCGCGUGAGCGAUGGAGUACUUCGGUAUGUAAAGCUCUGUCAGCAGGGAAGAAAAUUACGGUACCUGACCAAGACGCCCCGGCUAAAUCCGUUCCAGCCGCCGCGGUAAUACGUAUGGGGCCAGGGUUAUCCGGAUUUACGGGGUGUAAAGGGAGCGUAGGCGGCAGGGCAAGCCUGAUGUGAGAGCCCGGGGCUCAACCCCGGGACUGCAGUGGCAACUGCGCGGCUGGCGUGCGGGAGGGGCAGGCGGAAUUCCUGGUGUAGCGGUGAAAUGCGUAGAUAUUAGGAGGAACACCAGUGGCGAAGGCGGCCUGCUGGACGGGGACUGACGCUGAGGCUCGAAAGCGUGGGGAGCAAACAGGAUUAGAUACCCCUGUAGU
rnacentral:rRNA from 1 species